GACGAACGCUGGCGGCGUGCCUAAUACAUGCAAGUUGAGCGCUGAAGGUUGGUACUUGUACCAACUGGAUGAGCAGCGAACGGGUGAGUAACGCGUGGGGAAUCUGCCUUUGAGCGGGGGACAACAUUUGGAAACGAAUGCUAAUACCGCAUAAAAACUUUAAACACAAGUUUUAAGUUUGAAAGAUGCAAUUGCAUCACUCAAAGAUGAUCCCGCGUUGUAUUAGCUAGUUGGUGAGGUAAAGGCUCACCAAGGCGAUGAUACAUAGCCGACCUGAGAGGGUGAUCGGCCACAUUGGGACUGAGACACGGCCCAAACUCCUACGGGAGGCAGCAGUAGGGAAUCUUCGGCAAUGGACGAAAGUCUGACCGAGCAACGCAGCGUGAGUGAAGAAGGUUUUCGGAUCGUAAAACUCUGUUGGUAGAGAAGAACGUUGGUGGGAGUGGAAAGCUCAUAAAGUGACGGUAACUACCCAGAAAGGGACGGCUAACUACGUG
rnacentral:rRNA from 1 species